AGCGAACGCUGGCGGCAGGCUUAACACAUGCAAGUCGAGCGCCCCGCAAGGGGAGCGGCAGACGGGUGAGUAACACGUGGGAACGUACCCUUUGGUUCGGAACAACCCAGGGAAACUUGUGCUAAUACCGGAUAAGUCCGCGAGGAGAAAGAUUUAUCGCCGAAGGAUCGGCCCGCGUCUGAUUAGCUAGUUGGUGUGGUAACGGCGCACCAAGGCGACGAUCAGUAGCUGGUCUGAGAGGAUGAUCAGCCACACUGGGACUGAGACACGGCCCAGACUCCUACGGGAGGCAGCAGUGGGGAAUAUUGGACAAUGGGGGCAGCCCUGAUCCAGCCAUGCCGCGUGAGUGAUGAAGGCCCUAGGGUUGUAAAGCUCUUUCGGUGGGGAAGAUAAUGACGGUACCCACAGAAGAAGCCCCGGCUAACUUCGUG
rnacentral:rRNA from 1 species